rnacentral:rRNA from 1 species
AUUGAACGCUGGCGGCAUGCCUAACACAUGCAAGUCGAGCGAGCGACGGACAGGUGAGUAAUGUCUAGUAAAAUGCCGGUUGGAGGGGGAUAAGAGCUGGAAAAGGUAUCUAAUACCGCAUACCAUAGGAUUUGCCCAGAUGGGAUUAGCGUGGUGGUGGGGUAACGGCUCACCAGGGCGACGAUCCCUAGCUGGUCUGAGAGGAUGACCAGCCACACUGGAACUGAGACACGGUCCAGACUCCUACGGGAGGCAGCAGUGGGGAAUAUUGCACAAUGGGCGCAAGCCUGAUGCAGCCAUGCCGCGUGUAUGAAGAAGGCUCUAGGGUUGUAAAGUACUUUCAGUAGGGAGGCGUUACCGACAGAAGAAGCACCGGCUAACUCCGUGCCAGCAGCCGCGGUAAUAC